AAUGAGGAUGUGCAGUUUUGAGGACAGCUUGGGAAAUGAGAGUAGCAUGUUCACUGCUCUCCGGUGACCGCACACAACAGUAUCGUUGUCAAUCAGGUCGAGGUGAUGGUUACUGUUUUCAGACGAGAGCUUCUUCAUGAAGCAGUUGCACAGUUCAGGGUCCCAGCAUGCAGCAGGAGCUGUGGCUGCGAGCAAAAUCUCAGGUGCUGUCCUCCCUCAAGCCUGUGUGCGCCCUGAGAGCAGUGUCCACAGACCCACCCCACCCUGCAAGCGCCGACCCCCACUGCUACACCAGAGCCGCUGACCUGACCCACAGCCCCCUGGCCAAGAUGUCCAACAGCGCCCCGUCUCCCCCGCAAUAGCCCCAACGUGCCCCCCCACCCCCGGCCCUCCCGAGAACGCCCAACCUUGGCCUCAGGACCAGAACGCUUAACCACAACGCCCAUUCACACACCCACUACCACAACAUCAGAGAUAAUGGCGUCAAAGCAGAGUUCAACCGCAGCUGCUCGGCCGAGGGACCCUCGGGACCACAGGCCAACCCUAUCAAAGCCUCCAGGACCCAUAAUGAGCUGCAUAAGGAACUGCUGCUAGCCCACAAAAAGGGUAAGGCCCUGUGCAGUAAGCCUGAGCUGCAGCAGGUGCUUGAGAGGCGUAAGAAGGAGCAGACUCAGAAAGAGGAGGGAGACCAGGCCAGGACUCCCCUGGAGGAGGUGCUUCUGAAACGGCAGCAGAAGAACACUGAGAGGGAGAAGCACGAAGGGGAGAAAGUACAGGAGGAGGCCCAGCUGUUGGAGUUUGUCCGAGUCCGACAGAACCUGAAAAAGAUCCAGGCUUUCCACAAGGCCACAAACUCUUGAGUUAGUUGCGUGGAUGGGCUUGGAAUAGACUGACUGACACAGAGUAGACUGUUGUACUGAAUGUUGCCUGGGAAAGGACAUAAAUCAGCAUUGACUCUCUCCCAACUUCUCCAAAAUGGCUUCCUUACACUGUCCUGCACAUUGACAAUACUGCGUUUGUGUGCAGAGUCAGAAACUCAAACAAUAUCACUGGUUCGAUUUGAAGGCAUAAGGAUACCUUGAACAUGGAAAUAUUUUAAGCCAAGGAGAAACAUCGACAAAUGUUCUCAUUUGAACUAGUUGUGGGGGAAUAAAAAAACAAUAUUGCUGUUCAAUGGAUCAGUCGAAAGGGUGUGGAUCUAUGGUUGGGAUGUUAGGACUCAAGACAGUAUUCAGUCAAUUGUGAAUAUAAAACUGUACUUUAGAAUUGAGGAAAAUGCAGUAUAAAAAAGACACUUGUAGAUGUUGUCCUUUGAGUUUGAUCAUGUAUACAGUACCCUUUUCUUGCCUUUUUGCUGUGGAGCUCAAAUUAGCCAAUGUCAGUAUUGUGAGUUUAGGCAUGUGUCUCUAUCAGUCUCUUUCAGUCAGAUAGGGGGAAAACUUGGGUUGUUACUUUUUCCUAUGUCAGACAAAUGAAAAUAUUGGGUUUGAAAAACUUGACAAAUUAAAUAAUCAUUUUUAACAUAUUGUUGUAAAG
ensembl:lncRNA